UAGGGAAUCUUCCACAAUGGGCGCAAGCCUGAUGGAGCAACACCGCGUGAGUGAAGAAGGGUUUCGGCUCGUAAAGCUCUGUUGUUAAAGAAGAACACGUAUGAGAGUAACUGUUCAUACGUUGACGGUAUUUAACCAGAAAGUCACGGCUAACUACGUGCCAGCAGCCGCGGUAAUACGUAGGUGGCAAGCGUUAUCCGGAUUUAUUGGGCGUAAAGAGAGUGCAGGCGGUUUUCUAAGUCUGAUGUGAAAGCCUUCGGCUUAACCGGAGAAGUGCAUCGGAAACUGGAUAACUUGAGUGCAGAAGAGGGUAGUGGAACUCCAUGUGUAGCGGUGGAAUGCGUAGAUAUAUGGAAGAACACCAGUGGCGAAGGCGGCUACCUGGUCUGCAACUGACGCUGAGACUCGAAAGCAUGGGUAGCGAACAGGAUUAGAUACCCUGGUAGUCCAUGCCGUAACGAUGAGUGCUAGGUGUUGGAUCCUUUCCGGGAUUCAGUGCCGCAGCUAACGCAUUAAGCACUCCGCCUGGGGAGUACGACCGCAAGGUU
rnacentral:rRNA from 1 species